GACGAACGCUGGCGGCGUGCCUAAUACAUGCAGGUCGAGCGCAGGAAACUGACGGAACUCUUCGGAGGGAAGGCAGCGGAAUGAGCGGCGGACGGGUGAGUAACACGUAAGGAACCUGCCUCAAGGAUUGGGAUAACUCCGAGAAAUCGGAGCUAAUACCGGAUAGUUCAUCGGACCGCAUGGUCCGUUGAUGAAAGGCGCUCCGGCGUCACCUUGAGAUGGCCUUGCGGUGCAUUAGCUAGUUGGUGGGGUAACGGCCCACCAAGGCGACGAUGCAUAGGCGUACUGAGAGGGUGAUCGGCCACACGGGGACUGAGACACGGCCCAGACUCCUACGGGAGGCAGCAGUAGGGAAUCUUCCACAAUGGACGAAAGUCUGAUGGAGCAACGCCGCGUGAGUGAUGAAGGUUUUCGGAUCGUAAAACUCUGUUGUAAGGGAAGAACACGUACGAGAGGAAAUGCUCGUACCUUGACGGUACCUUACGAGAAAGCCACGGCUAACUACGUGCCAGCAGCCGCCGUAA
rnacentral:rRNA from 1 species